rnacentral:rRNA from 1 species
UCCGUAGGCGGUCAAUUAAGUCAGAGGUGAAAUACCAUAGCUCAACUAUGGAACUGCCUUUGAUACUGGUUGACUUGAGUCAUAUGGAAGUAGAUAGAAUGUGUAGUGUAGCGGUGAAAUGCAUAGAUAUUACACAGAAUACCGAUUGCGAAGGCAGUCUACUACGUAUGUACUGACGCUGAGGGACGAAAGCGUGGCGAGCGAACAGGAUUAGAUACCCUGGUAGUCC